GGCCGCUGGAAGGUAGACGCGACCGUGACGGGGGGAGGAUCUAGGCCGGGACGUGUCGGGGGAGUGGACCUAGACUGGGGGCCGUGGUGGGGUGCGGAUCCAGGCCGGCCGUCCAGUGGGGGCGCGGACCAAGUCCGGCGGCGCGACGUGGACGCGGACCAAGGCCGGCGGUGCGACGUAGGGGACUGGUGGAGGCGGGGCGGGGGUUGGAAGAGACGCCGCACUGUAAAGGAGACGAGACCGUGCUCGAAGGGAGAUCAGGCAGUGCCGGAAGGGAGUUGAGGCCACACCGGACGGGAGAUGAGGUCGCACGGGAGGACGAGGAGGAGGUGUUGGGGUAGGAGUGGGAGGGACGGGGCUUGUUGAAGGAGGACGGAUAAAUCAUCACAACAAUGUUAUUGGUCGUCGGUGAUCAGUCUAGCUGGGAGGUUAUUGGUUGUAUACGGAACCGCGCAAGGAGCCGUACGAGAAACCCAGGCACCUCUAACCGGAGCCUCAGCGCGAUCGGUAUAGGAAACGUUUCUAGUAGUAGGUCAGUGAGACCCGAGUCCACCUCCCAGACCCAACCGAUGUUCCUUGUUUGUAUAAGACGUCGCAGUCCGUCAUGGGGCACCGUACGGCCUGUGUCCGGCACGUUCAGUAUGCGUAGCUAUGUAGGAAAGAGAUGAAGUAGUUACGCUGAAAGUAGUUUCUCUCCUAGUACCUCACCCAUUCCCGUCUUCACCUAUGUAGGUUACUCUUCCAGUCCCUUUCCCACGUGAGUCAAAAGGAACUGUACAGUUUACACCACUUGUAACUGUGAAGUCUUGACCACCCUAACCUUCUUUAAGUGUUCCUCGACCGCAGGGAACCGUAUGUCUACUUCACUAAAUGACUACUCGUAGUAUAACAUCGAAACAGUUUUUUAAUAAUGACCAGUUUUAUAGAGUGAGAACACAUUUUUAUAAUAGACGUCUACCGAUAACGGUCAGGUCCUACCGUCCGUUAAGUCUUCUACUUCAACCGUGUACAACAACUGUCCUAUCCUCUUCUAACCUAAAAGGAUGUCAUCCACUUCGUCACCUUCCUACGGAUUAACGUGUGUUCCCGUCACGAUACCUCACAACUCACAUACAAUCAUCUUUAUUGUGGUAAACAACAGCUAAACAUAGAUCACUCGUACCAAAUGUAUCGAGGCGUUUACGACUGUUUAUCAUUGUCUGCGUUGUUACUGUUUUGUACAUGCACAAGACAUCUUUAUUUCGUGUAAUUGAUCUCACCAUAUGCCAGCACAAAAACACUGAUAUGAGGGAAUUUUAGAUAUAGAUAAAUAAAC
rnacentral:rRNA from 1 species